rnacentral:rRNA from 1 species
AUUGAACGCUAGCGGGGUGCCUUACACAUGCAAGUCGAACGGAGUGUCGAACGGGUGAGUAAUGUAUCGGAACGUGCCCAGUAGCGGGGGAUAACUCCGCGGAAGAGUAGCCACUACCCCAUACUAUUGGCGCGGCCGCUGGGGGAGUAGCUAGUUGGUGGGGUAACGGCUCACCAAGGCGACGAUCCGUAGCUGGUUCGAGAGUACGACGAGCACCAAUGGGACUGAGACACGGCCCAGACUCCUACGGUAGGCAGCAGUGGGGAAUUUUGGACAAGGGGGGAAACCCUGAUCCAGCCAUCCCGCGUGUGCGAUGAAGGUCUUCGGGUUGUAAAGCACUUUUGGCAGGAAAGCGGUACCUGCAGAAUAAGCACCGGCUAACUACGUGCCAGCAGCCGCGGUAAUAC